rnacentral:rRNA from 1 species
GCGUUGUUGGGUAGGGGAGCGUUCUGUAAGCCUGCGAAGGUGUGCUGUGAGGCAUGCUGGAGGUAUCAGAAGUGCGAAUGCUGACAUAAGUAACGAUAAAGCGGGUGAAAAGCCCGCUCGCCGGAAGACCAAGGGUUCCUGUCCAACGUUAAUCGGGGCAGGGUGAGUCGACCCCUAAGGCGAGGCCGAAAGGCGUAGUCGAUGGGAAACAGGUUAAUAUUCCUGUACUUGGUGUUACUGCGAAGGGGGGACGGAGAAGGCUAUGUUGGCCGGGCGACGGUUGUCCCGGUUUAAGCGUGUAGGCUGGUUUUCCAGGCAAAUCCGGAAAAUCAAGGCUGAGGCGUGAUGACGAGGCACUGCGGUGCUGAAGCAACAAAUGCCCUGCUUCCAGGAAAAGCCUCUAAGCAUCAGGUAACAUCAAAUCGUACCCCAAACCGACACAGGUGGUCAGGUAGAGAAUACCAAGGCGCUUGAGAGAACUCGGGUGAAGGAACUAGGCAAAAUGGUGCCGUAACUUCGGGAGAAGGCACGCUGAUAUGUAGGUGAAGUCCCUCGCGGAUGGAGCUGAAAUCAGUCGAAGAUACCAGCUGGCUGCAACUGUUUAUUAAAAACACAGCACUGUGCAAACACGAAAGUGGACGUAUACGGUGUGACGCCUGCCCGGUGCCGGAAGGUUAAUUGAUGGGGUUAGCGCAAGCGAAGCUCUUGAUCGAAGCCCCGGUAAACGGCGGCCGUAACUAUAACGGUCCUAAGGUAGCGAAAUUCCUUGUCGGGUAAGUUCCGACCUGCACGAAUGGCGUAAUGAUGGCCAGGCUGUCUCCACCCGAGACUCAGUGAAAUUGAACUCGCUGUGAAGAUGCAGUGUACCCGCGGCAAGACGGAAAGACCCCGUGAACCUUUACUAUAGCUUGACACUGAACAUUGAGCCUUGAUGUGUAGGAUAGGUGGGAGGCUUUGAAGUGUGGACGCCAGUCUGCAUGGAGCCGACCUUGAAAUACCACCCUUUAAUGUUUGAUGUUCUAACGUUGACCCGUAAUCCGGGUUGCGGACAGUGUCUGGUGGGUAGUUUGACUGGGGCGGUCUCCUCCUAAAGAGUAACGGAGGAGCACGAAGGUUGGCUAAUCCUGGUCGGACAUCAGGAGGUUAGUGCAAUGGCAUAAGCCAGCUUGACUGCGAGCGUGACGGCGCGAGCAGGUGCGAAAGCAGGUCAUAGUGAUCCGGUGGUUCUGAAUGGAAGGGCCAUCGCUCAACGGAUAAAAGGUACUCCGGGGAUAACAGGCUGAUACCGCCCAAGAGUUCAUAUCGACGGCGGUGUUUGGCACCUCGAUGUCGGCUCAUCACAUCCUGGGGCUGAAGUAGGUCCCAAGGGUAUGGCUGUUCGCCAUUUAAAGUGGUACGCGAGCUGGGUUUAGAACGUCGUGAGACAGUUCGGUCCCUAUCUGCCGUGGGCGCUGGAGAACUGAGGGGGGCUGCUCCUAGUACGAGAGGACCGGAGUGGACGCAUCACUGGUGUUCGGGUUGUCAUGCCAAUGGCACUGCCCGGUAGCUAAAUGCGGAAGAGAUAAGUGCUGAAAGCAUCUAAGCACGAAACUUGCCCCGAGAUGAGUUCUCCCUGACUCCUUGA